ensembl:lncRNA
CUCAUUCUGGUGGACAACAUCCCAUGCCAUGCAGACCCCAGGGGAAAAGGAAAGCGAGGGCCCAAACGCUCCUGGAAACCAGGAGCAUCACCAUUCCCAGCCAAGACUGUGACAGCAGCAGCUUUCCUGUGGAGUGGCAUUUGAUGUCAUAAGAUCAUUCUGGUUGGAAAGGAUCUCCAAGAUCCCCAACCCAUCCCACCGUGCCCACUGAUCACAUCCCCCAGUGCCACAUCCCCAUGGUUCUCAAACCCCUCCAUGGACGGUGACCCCACAGCAUCUCUCAGCAGUCUGUGCCAAUGCAUCACCACUCUUCUGGAGAAGAAGUUUUUCCCAAUAUCCCAAUAUUCCCAAUAUGUUAUAUAAACACAGCAUUGCAUGGCCUGACCUGCACUGCUUGGCGUGUUUCACAUCUCCAAAACCUCACCAUUCCACCCUUCAUUCCUGCCUCCACACCUGCUGGGCUGGGCGGGAUGUUCUUCAUGCAGGCACAAGCAGGAUGCAGGUUUGGGAAGUUCCUUGUGGUUUUAGCUGCUCCACGAUGAGCCCGGCCCUCGUGGCCUUUUCUCCCCCAGUUUGAAAUACGAGGCCGUCUUUCAUCCUUUCCUUUGGUGUGUGUUCUACGUUAAGUCCCGCAAUCAGAACCGCUCAGCAGCAAAGAGGUGUCGUGGGUCAGCGGCAGAGAAAACGGAUCUCCUCUCUCGUGCCCUUUGCGGAGGACAGGAGGUGAUUCCAAUGGUUUGAUUGGAGGGAUUCGUGCAGAGGGAUUUAAUCUGCUUAGAAUUAUCCUCCCCACCCCAAGGGAGCCGCUGGUGAUGGAUUUGCAGGGUGAGCCCCGUGACAUAUUGUGUGCUGAGACAGCUCUGCACCUGCCCGGCUCUCGGAUCAGUCUCCACUUCAAAGCAGGCGAGCUCUCCAUCACCAGCCGUCUCACGGCACAAAGGGAUGGCAGAACGGGGCAGAGGUUGUCUUUCUUUUCAUCUUGAUGUAUUCAUCAGCGCCAGCUACAUCCACACCUGCGUUUUGUAUGGGUUGGUGUUAAGGUGCAGAGAUGCAUUCUCGUGCCAAUGUUUGGCCUCGGCUUUGUCCCCUCCUAGAAAGGAACCGAUGGGAAUGAAGACAUUAGGACUGGGGAAGCAGGGAAUGCACUCUGGUUAUGGGGCAUGGCCUCACUGCACCCUGACCUUUCAGUGGGUCUGGAGGGGUCACUGGUGCUGCUCUGUUUUUUGGAGGUUUGAGCAGCGGGGCUCAGUUGUGCCAUGGGAGAAGAAUCAACCAACGCGUUGGGGGAGAUCCAGAAGGGUCUCUGCGAUGUCUGUGCUGGAUUCCUUCGGAAGACUUUGGAUGUGGGACCUUGUUGGGAAGCUGUUCCUGAUGUGGGCUCCUUGGAACCACCUGGAGCAACACGAACGCUUUCCCUUAGAGCUCCUUAAACUCCCAUGGAAUUCGCAGCCGGCGCAGAAGGCUCUCGCGUUUUAUUAUCCAGCAAUAAACAUUUAUGAUCACUGCUACUCACAAAGGAGCGCAUCGCUGCAGCAGAUCUUCAGGUGAUGACAGCACUGGGAUGGGUUUUGCCAUCACUUUGAUGGGGGAACAUUUCAUGCGCGUGGAUUCCCAACCUGUUGACAGCUGCCAUGCAGAUAAGGGCUGCCCCCAUCAGACACCCCAUGACCUUGACAUCCAUGUGUGUGGGGUUAAUGAGGGCUUUGCUUUGCCUCCACCUUCACGCCCCCUGAUUAAUUCCAGCCAGGUGUCAACGGUCCAGGUCUUAAAACAACCACGGGGGGAAGCGUCUGGGAACGCUUAGUUUGGCUUCACUCUGCAAUUCCAAGUAUGGGUAAAUAUUUGCACCUCUGUGGCCGUGAGACACCUUUGAGAUAUGGAGGCAAUUACGGUAGGAGCUCAAUCUGAGCCAAGAAGAUGGAUUUCGCGGGGAGCAGCGGCGGCCCAGGGGCUGACAGAGCACUGUGGAUCAGUCUGGGUGGUCCCAGGGAAGGUCGUGGGGUGGGGGCUCCGGGCGCUGGGGGGCUGUGCUUGGGAUUCAGACGUGCUUCCACCCCUUCCACCCCCCACUGAUUUUGAGCUCGGUGUUUUCUGGGCUGCGCUUCCCCCCAAGCGGUCCAUUUUACAUGGGAGAGCGAGGAGCAGAAAUGCAGGCGCAGAGCACACGGACACGUGCAUUGCCCUGGGGUGCACAGCACACAGAGCUGCGUGGCUCAGCCAUCCCAGCAGACACGCUUCGUUUUGGGCCAUUUCCUCCUUCCAGACGUUGGCGGAGGGAUUGCAAUCACGGAGGUGGGAGAGCAGAGCCACGUUUGGGCACGGCCGCGGGAUGCCGUGGUGCAGAUCCUGCAGCAUCCUGCCCCGCUCCUUCCCCAGCUGCUGGGAACGGCUGAUUCAAGCAGCAGGAAUGCAGACACCAUCCCCGCGAGGUUGGCUGGUGGUUGUUUUGGGUUUUGUUUCUUUUUUUUUGCUCCUUUGCUACGUACCGUGAGCGACCUGAAGCACAGCCCCGGCUCGUAAAUCCUCGCUGCUGCCAGGACCCGGAGGGUUUUAUUCCCUCUGUCAAACUCAGUGAUGAGAUGCCCUCAAACACAUCUUUAAUUGGGUAGCUGGGGGCUGUGAUAUCCCCUCUGGGCCACGUGCCGUGUGCUGUGCAGGCAGCAGGGAGAUGCUGGCUCCCAUCCCCUGGUGUGAGUGACGCCAAGCAGCAGCAGCUCCUCCUGGAAGCACUUAGGGCCGCUGGGUCGGGGCACCCACAUGGGAGCGAUUUGGGGCGACGCCUGCAGAGCGCAGCGGCUCCGGCUGUGCUCCCCUGGGGCUGAGCAAGUGGGGCUGGGGGGACGGGGGAUGGGAUGCUGUCUGUCCCCAUUAAAGCGAGGGAAGAUGGAGCAGCUGUGAGGCUGUGCUGGAAAUCACGGCGUUGGGAAUGGCGAUGGGUGCGGGGGCAGUUUGUCUCCUCGCUGUGAACUCACAACUUGCACGAGUGAAGGGAAAGGAGUGUGGAUGUUCCCUCGUCCCAUUCCAGCUCCCCACAGCUCCUUGGGGUCCUUCCAUCAGGGGAAGGCGGAAGCCACACAUCGUGUGCUCGGAGAGGAGGAGGUGCUCUCGUUGUGACCUCCGGCAGAUGGAUACUGCCAGAAAUCCUGCAGCACUCUGUUUCCCUCUCUGCCAGGAUGGUUACCACUCACUGCGCUCACUGCAGCCACACCUGACGUCCCCAGAAAUGCUCCACCCCAUUUUGGAGCAAGAUACAUCCUUGGCUUCUCCACCACCUCCUUCCUGGAUUCAGAGCAGUGAUGGACCCGUGGGUGCUCACGGAGAGGUGCAGAACCCGGAGGAUGCUCAGCCCUCAUCGAGGCAAACUCCCACAGCCGUGCCUUGCUGUGCAGGGGAAAGCUCCCUUCUCACAGCCCCAUGAAUUGGAACAGCUCAGGAGGUGCCUGGGGUCUAAUCCAAAACAGUAGGAUGGUGUGAAAUAGGCUCCUGGAGGGCCCUCCCGCGGCGCUGGAUGCAGAUCUGAGGCGCUCAGUGCAGGGCAGGCUGCCAGCCCACGGCUCGGGGAUCCAGGGCUUGCCUGCAGGUCGGGGCUCACACAGAGAUGGAAUCCCUUCUGUUGUCACCACAUGGGACGCGGGGCACCUGGGUGAGGUUUUGGGAGGGCUGGUGCAGGAGAACAUAGUUUGCUCCCCGUGGUUAUCAUUGCAUCCCUCUGAUCCGCUUCCUCUGCAUCCCUGAGCGAGAAAGGUGCCAGAUCAGCUGAGGCCAUUCUGAGAGGAGUGUCACUGUAAAACCCAUCAGCUCACUGUCAGCACGGAAAUACCUUUCUCUAUCCCCUCCAGGCCGGAUUAACGGGUCUUUUCUAUCAGUCCUUGUAGGAAAAUGCUCUUUUCUCUGCCUUUGCUUCAGAGCUGUGCUCAGCCACGUUCCCUGUGAGCUCUGCGUGGGAAUGCUGGGAUCCUCAGAAGCACCACGAUGGAGAAGGAGCCACGAAAUGGCAGAGCUGCUCGUGGUGGUACACGAGGACACUGCUCCCUGAGGGCUGCAGAAAGCACUCCGACAGAGCAAUGAGGGUUAAACAAGGCAACAUCACCCCAGGGUGCUCCACGUGCCCCUGUCAUGGACUGAUUCCUGCCCGGUGUGCCCCACUGAUGGGUGGUUUUGAGCCUCGCUCAUGGGCUGAGCUCUGCCCCACCACCACUGCUCCUCCUGGGGGUCUCACGGGGGGCCCCAGCCAAAAUUCCCAACCUCAGUUUUGAGUGCUUUGAGGCAAGCAUUGCAUUCCAGGGGAGUGGGGAUGGGGCACCUCUCCGGGGUCGGUGGGUAUUGAUGAAAUCUCUUCCAACACCGCCGCCGUCCAUUCUCUUACUGAUGUGUUUAUCGUCGAUCUCAUGGAUCAAUGGGAUCCCAGAGGCCUUUCCACGUCAGGCUUAAGAGGACUUUGUGGUGUGUGGCCAUUGGCCGAUGGCUUUCGGUGGCAUCAGCCCAACGUGUGCGCCCUUAGCUGAACUGUGCCGUCGGUCGCUGCUGCUGGAUGAGGUUGAGCUUGGAGGACUUUUUAAACCUUAAAACAGACAUCUUCAGGUCUGGGCUAAAUUAUGCCUCCAGAGCUUGUCAUUAUAUCAUAAAAAGAGCAGGUUCAUUUGAAAUAUUUGAACAAUUGCCCAGAUGGAGUUCGCUAAAGAAGAAACCUCUGUGAGAGUUCGUGGAUGCGGAGAGAAAAGCAGGGCUGGAAUGCUUUGAUUUACGAGCCGGGCUGGGGAUGCCCAGG